rnacentral:lncRNA from 1 species
ACGGGAUGCGACUGGGACGAACUUGGACGAGACUUGGAGAAACUUGACUUGGCGGGACUGGAAGCUGGACGAGAAUUGACGGGAACGAAGCUGGACGUGACUUGGAGAAACUUGACUUGGCGGGACUGGAAGCUGGACGGGAAUUGGCGGGAACGAAGCUGGACGUGACUUGGAGAACUUGACUUGGCGGGACUGGAAGCUGACGGGUACGGGAAUAAAGCUGGACGUGACUUUGGACUAAACUGGAUACAGUUCUUUAUUAUGUUGAAUUAACAGACACUUUCCCAAAUGACUGGAGCUGGAGUUGGCAUCGAGUUGACUUUAAAAUACGGAAGGUGUAUUUCAGAACUUGCUCAACCUGUUAUUCGAAUUCUCCAAAGUCCAAAUCUUGAAGUAUAUUGUAUACUGGAUAUUUGAAGUUGAAGCACUGAUGAGUUAGAGAUGGAUUAGAAGGAGAAAGGUUCCGGGUGGGGACGUUCCAGGUGGGGGGAUCCAAGUGAGGAUUUCAUGCAAGGGAUGGGGGUUUUAUACCUAAUUACAUAUUCACAAUCUCGAUUCCGAGAUCUCCUCCUACAAAAUAUUCUUACACUAAACUUCACUAUUUCAUUAUAAUUACAGUAGGUGACUGGGCGGGCAUAACACUUGAUGGACACUCGAAGAGUCGUCCUGAACAAUUUAUCCUAACAUUCUGAUUGGGCGAAAACAAAAAUAAGGGGAAGGAGUAGAAAAGACAAAGGCUCAUUGAACAGUUGGGUAUAUCCCUGCUCCUACUUCCUGCGAUGACUUAACUCCUUUUCCAAGAAAACAAAUGCUUUGUCUUCCAGCCCAAACUGGUAUUCGCAGAGG